UGAGGGGCGUGGAGCGCAGCCCACAGCCGGGCCGGUAGGCGGAAGUCGGGCGCGGGGCCGGAAGGCAAGAGGCGGUCACUUUCCGGAGGGCAGGAGGCGGGAACGCGCCUAACGAGAGCGGCUGCAGGACCCAAGCGAGGGAGCGGGGCAAGGAAACCUCCCAGCGUUAGCCCCGCCCCUGGCGCCUCUGCUUCCGAGGCGCUUACCUGGUUCCUCCGGGUGCUCAGGGAUGGUUCUGGUCUUUGGAAGAGUCGCAGCUGGUGAGGGCGCCCCCCUCACCUCUGCUCAUGUCCUGCUGUGGACCUGCGGGUGACCGCCAGCCAGGCAGAGCCCUCCCUCAAACCUUGCCUGCUGGUGUCCUCAGGAUGUGGGAAACCUGUGCGCUGGCCAAGUGUUACCCAGGAGUAGGCAGUGAAAGAUAAAUGAAGGUUGAACAGGUAAAGUGAGGACCGUACAGUGGAAAGCGAGAAUCCUGUGUGCCCUGAAGGAGUUUUGUCUGCGACUUGUGGAACAUCCCUGUGGGGGACUCCGACCAGCCCGAGUGACGUGGAUCCUGAGAGCGCUCCCAAGUAGGCAUUUGCCCCGGUGGGACACCUCGCCAGAGCAGUGUGUGGCAGGCCCCCAUGGAGAAUCAACGCAGGAGCUGAACACCGGGAAGGAACGGGCACUUGGAGGCUGGACAUCUAAAACUUGGACCCACCAGAGAAGAGGCCAUGGCUUUGGAGCACCUGGUAGUGUGUCCACAGUGAAGACCAGAGUUUCAUUGUCCUCAAGACUGACCUGGGGAGACGUGGCUGCGGGCCAGUGAGGAAGGGUUGGAGACCUUCAAAUUAACUGACAAUAGAUACAUUAAUAGGAGAGACAAUAUUUGGCUUCUUAUUCCACAAGUAUCAUUGUAGGACAAAAUUCAUCAGAUGGCAGGAUCCAGUUUACAAACAGAUGGCACCAAAAACGAAGGAAGCUCCUGCCCCUCCUGAAGCCGAAGCCAAAGCAAAGGCUUUAAAGGCCAAGAAAGCAGUGUUGAAAUGUAUCCACAGCCCCCCUCAAAAAGAAGAUCUGUACCUCACCCACCUUCCAGCAUCCCCAGACACUGCGACUCUGGAAGCAGCCUAGAUAUCCUGGGAAGAGCGUCCCCCAGAGAAACAAGCUUGACCACCAUGCUAUCAUCAAGUUUCCAUUGACCACUGAGUCAGCCAUGAAGAACAUAGAAGACAACAAUAUGCUUGUGUUCACUGUCGAUGUUAAAGCCAACAAGCCCCGGAUCAAACAGACUGUGAAGAAGCUCUGGGACGUGGAUGUGGCCACGGUCAACAUCCUGAUUCGGCCUGACAGAGAGAAGUAGGAAUAUGUUCGACUGGCUCCUGAUUAGGAUGCUUUGGAUGUUGCCAACAAACUUGGGAUCAUCUAAGCUGAGUCCAGUUGGCUGAUUCUAAAUAGAUGUAUAUCUUUUCACCAUAAAAAAAAGGAAAUAAUGUUUUUCAUAAGAAUGACAACUUAAAAUCUUUACGCUUAUAGAUUUGAUUCUAAUUAUCUAGUAAGUAUAAUAUUAGCUUCUUGUAAGCACUCAAGCAGAAUAGAAACUUGUUUGUUGGCCGGGCAUGUGGACUCACACCUGUAAUCCCAGCACUUUGGGAGGCUGAGGAGGGUGGAUCAUGAGGUCAGGAGAUCAAGACCAUAC